rnacentral:rRNA from 1 species
UGGGGAAUUUUGGACAAUGGGCGCAAGCCUGAUCCAGCCAUGCCGCGUGCGGGAAGAAGGCCUUCGGGUUGUAAACCGCUUUUGUCAGGGAAGAAAUCUUCUGAGUUAAUACCUCGGGAGGAUGACGGUACCUGAAGAAUAAGCACCGGCUAACUACGUGCCAGCAGCCGCGGUAAUACGUAGGGUGCAAGCGUUAAUUGGAAUUACUGGGCGUAAAGCGUGCGCAGGCGGUUUUGUAAGACAGAGGUGAAAUCCCCGGGCUCAACCUGGGAACUGCCUUUGUGACUGCAAGGCUUGAGUGCGGCAGAGGGGGGUGGAAUUCCGCGUGUAGCAGUGGAAAUGCGUAGAUAUGCGGAGGAACACCGAUGGCGAAGGCAAUCCCCUGGGCCUGCACUGACGCUCAUGCACGAAAGCGUGGGGAGCAAAACAGGAUUAGAUACCCUGGUAGUCCACGCCCUAAAACGAUGUCAACUGGUUGUUGGGAAGGUUCCUUCUCAGUAACGUAGCUAACGCGUGAAGUUGACCGCCUGGGGAGUACGGCCGCAAGGUUGAAACUCAAAU